CACGUAUUUAGCCAGGGCUCCCUCCUAUGAUACCGUCAUUAUCUUCUCAUAGGACAGAGCUUUACGACUCGAAAGCCUUCUUCGCUCACGCGGCGUCGCUGCAUCAGGGUUUCCCCCAUUGUGCAAUAUUCCCCACUGCUGCCUCCCGUAGGAGUUUGGACCGUGUCUCAGUUCCAAUGUGGCCGUUCAUCCUCUCAGACCGGCUACUGAUCGUCGCCUUGGUAGGCCUUUACCCCACCAACUAGCUAAUCAGACGCGAGCCCAUCUUACACCGGUAUCCCUUUUACCCUUUUACCAUGCGGUAUUGUGGUCUUAUGGGGUAUUAAUCACCGUUUCCAAUGGCUAUCCCCCUGUGUAAGGCAGGUUGCUCACGUGUUACUCACCCGUUCGCCACUUUCAUUACCUUUCAUUCGUCCGAAACUCAUUCAAAGUAACUCUCGUUCGACUUGCAUGUGUUAAGCACGCCGCCAGCGUUCGUCCUGUAGCCAGGAGUCAAACUACU
rnacentral:rRNA from 1 species